GCCUCCAAUCCACGAUGGACUGCGAGAAGCACCUGAGAAAUGGGCUCCCAGUCCAUGCCUCCUCUCAUGGACCAUCGGUCCACGAUGGACCAUGUGAAAGCCAUCAUGAGCCGUACGCCCGUGCUCCCAUUGGUUGGCUGGGCCGGCCCAUGCAUGCCCGCACGCUACUGACCCACGCACCCAUGCACACCUAGGCCGAGCCCAGGCACUGCUGGGCCGCGCUCGCAGGCUUGGGGCCCCUGUUAGCCUGCAGGCCUCCUUUGUUGCCUUCUGGCCUACGCACUGCGAGCUCCGUUGGUUUGUACACU
rnacentral:lncRNA from 1 species